AUGAGGAAUUCGAUGGCGGAGCAACUGCCAGUAUCGCGGUCGGUUUCGGUUUUACGAGGGGUGCGGAGGACGACGGUGGGAUACGGCAUCAGAGGUCUCGGUCCGGUGGAGGAUGUUGCGGGUGGAUCUGCAACACGAGCCUGGGCAUUUGCCCAAGCUGGCCGUAUGCUGUAUCCGCCUGUGCUCUUUCUUUCAUUGAUGGACUCUUCUUCAGUAGAGAUUCUCUUGAUACAAAGUUCAUUUUCAUCACCUCAUAUUCAUGGAUUACUUGUAAAUCCAAAAAAUAGCAUGGAAGACGCAAACUCAUGA